GUGGGGAAUCUUGCGCAAUGGGCGAAAGCCUGACGCAGCCAUGCCGCGUGAAUGAUGAAGGUCUUAGGAUUGUAAAAUUCUUUCACCGGGGACGAUAAUGACGGUACCCGGAGAAGAAGCUCCGGCUAACUUCGUGCCAGCAGCCACGGUAAUACGAAGGGGGCUAGCGUUGCUCGGAAUUACUGGGCGUAAAGGGCGCGUAGGCGGACAGCUUAGUCAGAGGUGAAAGCCCAGGGCUCAACCUUGGAAUUGCCUUUGAUACUGGCUGUCUUGAGUUUGGGAGAGGUGAGUGGAACUACGAGUGUAGAGGUGAAAUUCGUAGAUAUUCGGAAGAACACCAGUGGCGAAGGCGACUCACUGGCCCAAUACUGACGCUGAGGCGCGAAAGCGUGGGGAGCAAACAGGAUUAGAAACCCGAGUAGUCC
rnacentral:rRNA from 1 species